rnacentral:rRNA from 1 species
UGAGACACGGCCCAGACUCCUACGGGAGGCAGCAGUGGGGAAUAUUGCACAAUGGGGGAAACCCUGAUGCAGCGACGCCGCGUGGAGGAAGAAGGUCUUCGGAUUGUAAACUCCUGUUGUUGGGGAAGAUAAUGACGGUACCCAACAAGGAAGUGACGGCUAACUACGUGCCAGCAGCCGCGGUAAAACGUAGGUCACAAGCGUUGUCCGGAAUUACUGGGUGUAAAGGGAGCGCAGGCGGGAAGACAAGUUGGAAGUGAAAUCUAUGGGCUCAACCCAUAAACUGCUUUCAAAACUGUUUUUCUUGAGUAGUGCAGAGGUAGGCGGAAUUCCCGGUGUAGCGGUGGAAUGCGUAGAUAUCGGGAGGAACACCAGUGGCGAAGGCGGCCUACUGGGCACCAACUGACGCUGAGGCUCGAAAGUGUGGGUAGCAAACAGGAUUAGAUACCCUGGUAGUCCACACCGUAAACGAUGAUUACUAGGUGUUGGAGGAUUGACCCCUUCAGUGCCGCAGUUAACACAAUAAGUAAUCCACCUGGGGAGUACGACCGCAAGGUUGAAACUCAAAGGAAUUGACGGGGGCCCGCACAAGCAGUGGAGUAUGUGGUUUAAUUCGACGCAACGCGAAGAACCUUACCAAGUCUUGACAUCCCUUGACAGGCAUAGAAAUAUGUUUUCUCUUCGGAGCAAGGAGACAGGUGGUGCAUGGUUGUCGUCAGCUCGUGUCGUGAGAUGUUGGGUUAAGUCCCGCAACGAGCGCAACCC